rnacentral:tRNA from 2 species
GCCCCGGUAGCUCAGUGGCAGAGCACUUCCAUGGUAAGGAAGGGGUCGUCAGUUCAAUCCUGACCCGGGGCU